rnacentral:lncRNA from 1 species
AUAAGAACAUUAGAAAUGUAAUGAUAGUAUGGAAACAAUAUAUAAUCGACAUAAUCUAUCUUUUUAAUAAUAAAAAAUCACCAUUCUUAAUUAAUCACUAAGUCAUUCACUAGAUCACUUACUAAGCCACUCACCAAGUUAUUCAUCAAAUCACUCACUAAGUCACUCAUGAAAUCAUUCACUAAAUCAUUCACCAAGUCAUUCACUAAAUCACUCAACAAGUCACUCAUUAAGUAACUGACCAAAUCACUCACC